CCCUACAGCCUUUUCUCUUUCCCUCUUCUCCCUCUCUCUUCCCUAAGCUCUCUCUUACUCAGUACUGCGUUGCCUCUACCAAGCCCGAACGGUCGUCGUCCCAUCGCCGGAGUUGGACAUGCGCUAGCUCAGUCUAACCGUCGGCCCUCAAAACGUCGACCCCCGCGAGCUCACCACCGUACGCACCUCCCAGGGCUGUCAACCAAUGAUUCGAAGUCGUCCGCCUCUUGCACUUUCCAGCGAGAUUCCGACUGCCUCAAGCCUCCACAAGCCAAACCAUUACAAUAGAUCUUUGGGCUUCAAAACCCAUAUGGAGAUCGGACUCAACUGUCACCGGAUUUCAGUUUUUGUGUUCGCCAAAAAUCCAUGGAUUUCCAAGAGGUUUUGGCUCCAAUCCAAACACGGUCGGACUUAAGAGAAAUCGCUACCACCCUGAUGUUCCCCAAGCCUUAGGCUUCGAAGCCCAGCCACUGUUUUCCCGAACCACCACCAUGGGGUGGUGCUGCCGCCGUCGUCGCCGGAGCUUCGGUGAGGGUCUCGGCCAGCAACCACUUCUGGGUGUUUCAAGGUUUGUCUCGAGCUCCCAACAUCAUCCUCAACCUCUUUGCACUAUCCAGAGCGCUGUGGAUUAAAGACUAUGGGAAAAAUCUUGGUUGAUUGCUCUUGCUGAGCAAUCUUAUAUAUCUACGGACCUGAGAUAAGUAAAUCUCACCAUACAUGUUUUACUUGCUCAUAUGUUGAUUAAAUGGAUGUAUAUAAACUGAGAUAAGUAAAUCUCACCAUACAUGUUUUACUUGCUCAUAUGUUGAUUAAAUGGAUGUAUAUAAACUGCAUGACUUAUGUACUCUUAGAUAUUAUUAAGACGCAAACUCUAUGAACAUGUACGUGUUUCCUGGUUAUGUGGUAUGAGGUGUUUCAAUAAUUGAGAAAGAGUGAUAUGUGAAUGCAAGUGCUUUUUUAGGAAAUUUAUAAUAUAAUUGAUUUUGUACUUGUAGUUGCUUUGUCUAUGUAAUUAAGAAUGACAAACUUUAUGAUUAUGCAAGCAUGGUUUGAUUUUAUAUCUAUGGGUACUUUUUUGAUGAAUGAGUUUUGCGUCUCUCGAUGCUCUGCAGUUGGUAUGACUAGGGAGAACUUUGUAAAUUGUUGUGUUGUAAGUUAAUCUUGACUUUGUUGGCUGCAACAUGAAACAUGCUAGUGUAUUGUUUGUUCUAGUUAUUUACACUAGAUUGAUUAAGGGCUGAAUUAGUAAUGGCUAGGGGUACUAAUAAGUGUACAAAAUGUUUCAAUGAAAUCCAUUGAUUACUAGGCAAUACUUGUACUCAAGCUGAUGACUGGGGUAGGGGAAGCACAGUCGAUUGGCUGUGGACUGAUGGCCAGAGUAGGGGGAAGCACAGCUGAUUGACUAUUCGAGUUGAUGACCGAGGUAGGAGGAAGCACAGUCGAUUGGCUAUGAACUGAUGGUCGAGGUAGAGGGAAGCACGGUUGAUUGACUAUUCGAGCUGAAGACCGGGUUAGGGGGAAGCACAGUUGAUUGGCUAUGAACUGAUGGUCAGGGUAGGGGGAAGCACGGUCGAUUGACUAUGGACUGAUGACCGGGGUAGGGGAAGCAUGGUCGAAUGUCUAUUGAUUCGUAACCAAGGUACUCAGAGGGCGGGGGGAGUCCGGUUGGUGUGUGAAUUUUUUAUGGAAAUGUGAAUCCGGCUAGUUACCAGGAUGAUUUAAUUGUUGUGUUAUUGUGAAAUCCAGUGUGUGUACUAGGACCACGCUGUUGUAAAUCCAAUGAUUUCUAGGUAAUACUAGCACUCGAGCUGGUGACCGGGGUAGGGGAAGCAUGGUCGGCCAAUGAAAUGAUUUAAACAAGUAGAAAAUAACUCGUGAUUUUAGUAGUUGUGAUCUAAGAGGUGCCCGAAUACCUCUUUAUAAUUUUAUAAAUCUUCAGUGAUUUUUGUAGCCAUUGUAUAAUGGUGUUAUGCAUUUAUAUCUUAUAUCUACUUGUUCUAGAAUUUUCUGCGUGCAGGUUGAUAAUAUUAUUAGUUAUUAUCUCUGUGAGUUGAACGGCUGCUGUAAUAUUAGACUUGGUGCAAGUCAUGAACGAUUUGAAUUCAAUACUCAAAUUUUUGUUCAAUAGAGGUGAUCAGUCAAAUGAUGUGAUUAGUAAACCCAAUUUAGGAAAUUGUGUCAAGGACUUGUAAGAGUUUGAUCAUACUCCAUGACCAGUCUUAACAUGCUAAAGAGUACACAUAGUUUAUCGUUGUCCAGUUAGCCUUGUGACCUAAUUUAGGUGUCUCUUUCUUUAGCCUCAGGAUUUGUGUACACUGCUAACAUUUUGUAUGUUGGUUAGAGUGUUGAUUCCCGAGCCUUUAUACAGAAUAUGUUAUAGAAUAGCUAAAGGCUCUUUAAGGGAGAUUAUAGUCAUGUGAUAGUCACGAAAUUAAUAGUAGUGGGGUAGGAAGGUAAAAGUUCCCAGUUAGGGUUUAUGUAAAUAGGUGCUCCUGAGAUUAUCAUAGACCUUAGCAUUGGCACGAAAUAACGUUUUGACCAUUGCGGUCUUGAGGGUGUGGUAUCACCGUAAUUACUAAACUUGUUGCCACCCCUUAGUGAAAGGUUAUAGCGGAACCCUAGUUGAGGGAUUUUAUUUUGCAUAGUACUAUGAUAUUGGAUUAACAUAAUCCUAUGCUAUUUUCUUUUAGUAGUUAAUACUUGUGGCCACUACUUUGUCAAAUUUAUAAUUGAUUAUUGGAGCAUGAAUUUAUAGUGUAUGAAUUAAUGAUGACCGAAUGUGGACACAUAUGAGUGUCCUAUGCAUGUUACACUCAUGGCUAUGUUAUCCUGCCAUGCAUCAUCAAGUUACAAUAUAAGUAUAUAGGCAUACAUUCAAUGCAUGGGAUUUACUUACUGGGUGUGAGCUCAUUAAUUUGUUGUUUCCUCCUUUUCAGGUGUGGCUUGAUACUUGGAUCUCUUGUGGACUUUGGACUUAGUAACAAUGACUUUUAUGGAUGGUAUUUUUAGAAGUCUUGUAUUA